rnacentral:rRNA from 1 species
UACGUAGGGUGCGAGCGUUAAUCGGAAUUACUGGGCGUAAAGGGUGCGUAGGCGGCGCGGUAAGUCGGGUGUGAAAUCUCGGGGCUUAACUCCGAAACUGCAUUCGAUACUGCCGUGCUUGAGGACUGGAGAGGAGACUGGAAUUUACGGUGUAGCGGUGAAAUGCGUAGAUAUCGUAAGGAAGACCAGUGGCGAAGGCGGGUCUCUGGACAGUUCCUGACGCUGAGGCACGAAGGUCAGGGGAGCAAACGGG